AGCAGCCGCGGUAAUUCCAGCUCCAAUAGCGUAUAUUAAAGUUGUUGCAGUUAAGAAGCUCGUAGUUGAAUUUCGGGAUCAGUGGGUCGGUCGUGCCACUGGUAUGCACUGGCUCUACUGGUUCCUCCUUCUUGAAGAACUGUAAUGCCAUUAAUUUGGUGUUGCAGGGAAACAGGACUGUUACUUUGAAAAAUUAGAGUGUUUAAAGCAGGCAAUCGCUUGAAUACAUUAGCAUGGAAUAAUGAAAUAGGACGAUCGAUCCUAUUUUGUUGGUUUCUAGGAUUGACGUAAUAAUUAAUAGGGAUAGUUGGGGGCAUUAGUAUUCAAUUGUCAGAGGUGAAAUUCUUGGAUUUAUUGAAGACUAACUA
rnacentral:rRNA from 1 species